GACGAACGCUGGCGGCGUGCUUAACACAUGCAAGUCGAACGGAAAGGCCCUGCUUUUGUGGGGUGCUCGAGUGGCGAACGGGUGAGUAACACGUGAGUAACCUGCCCUUGACUUUGGGAUAACUUCAGGAAACUGGGGCUAAUACCGGAUAGGAGCUCCUGCUGCGUGGUGGGGGUUGGAAAGUUUCGGCGGUUGGGGAUGGACUCGCGGCUUAUCAGCUUGUUGGUGGGGUAGUGGCUUACCAAGGCUUUGACGGGUAGCCGGCCUGAGAGGGUGACCGGCCACAUUGGGACUGAGAUACGGCCCAGACUCCUACGGGAGGCAGCAGUGGGGAAUAUUGCACAAUGGGCGGAAGCCUGAUGCAGCAACGCCGCGUGCGGGAUGACGGCCUUCGGGUUGUAAACCGCUUUCGCCUGUGACGAAGCGUGAGUGACGGUAAUGGGUAAAGAAGCACCGGCUAACUACGUGCCAGCAGCCGCGGUGAUACGUAGGGUGCGAGCGUUGUCCGGAUUUAUUGGGCGUAAAGGGCUCGUAGGUGGUUGAUCGCGUCGGAAGUGUAAUCUUGGGGCUUAACCCUGAGCGUGCUUUCGAUACGGGUUGACUUGAGGAAGGUAGGGGAGAAUGGAAUUCCUGGUGGAGCGGUGGAAUGCGCAGAUAUCAGGAGGAACACCAGUGGCGAAGGCGGUUCUCUGGGCCUUUCCUGACGCUGAGGAGCGAAAGCGUGGGGAGCGAACAGGCUUAGAUACCCUGGUAGUCCACGCUGUAAACGGUGGGUACUAGGUGUGGGGUCCAUUCCACGGGUUCCGUGCCGUAGCUAACGCUUUAAGUACCCCGCCUGGGGAGUACGGCCGCAAGGCUAAAACUCAAAGGAAUUGACGGGGCCCCGCACAAGCGGCGGAGCAUGCGGAUUAAUUCGAUGCAACGCGUAGAGCCUUACCUGGGUUUGACAUGGAUCGGGAGUGCUCAGAGAUGGGUGUGCCUCUUUUGGGGUCGGUUCACAGGUGGUGCAUGGCUGUCGUCAGCUCGUGUCGUGAGAUGUUGGGUUAAGUCCCGCAACGAGCGCAACCCUUGUUCACUGUUGCCAGCACGUUAUGGUGGGGACUCAGUGGAGACCGCCGGGGUCAACUCGGAGGAAGGUGGGGAUGACGUCAAGUCAUCAUGCCCCUUAUGUCCAGGGCUUCACGCAUGCUACAAUGGCUGGUACAGAGAGUGGCGAGCCUGUGAGGGUGAGCGAAUCUCGGAAAGCCGGUCUCAGUUCGGAUUGGGGUCUGCAACUCGACCUCAUGAAGUCGGAGUCGCUAGUAAUCGCAGAUCAGCAACGCUGCGGUGAAUACGUUCCCGGG
rnacentral:rRNA from 1 species